rnacentral:lncRNA from 1 species
GCGUCUGACGUGCAUGUGAAGUAGGGGGUCUGCAUAUCCAGACCUCCGCGAAGGUUUAUAUUAGAUAAUUUGAGAUUUGAUUCCUGAUUCUGCUGCGAUUCAGGUAGGGAUUUGAUCCUUAAACAAGUAGAACAUUAAAAAAAUUUUUUAGAUGCAACCUGGGCAUGCUGAAGAGAAACUGUUUCCUAUGCUUCAGACCUCUCUUUUGGGUGUCAUAAUCUGAUAGAAAUCUCCUCUUAGCCAUCCCAAGGUUGUGGUAUUUUAUAGGUAUAAAAGAGUUUCA